UCUUGCUGAAUGAUUUGAUAUAGAAAAAUAAAGUAUUACAGGGGAAGGAAAAGACAAGGUAAAUGUUUCAACUAGAAGUUGGGAAUUAUUUGCUCGACCAAGUCCCAUUUGUUUUUCCAAUAAAUAUGGAAAUAGUUGUUUUAGGAAACAAAUGAGUAGUAUAACUAUAAAUACUUGGACACAUUCUAAUCUAAUAUUGGCAUAUCUAGAAUAAAUUCUCACACUUCCUCAUUUUGUAAGUUUAUCAACUUUAGUGUAGCCAAUUCCACUCCAGGUUAAACAAAUCAAACAAUAGGAAUAAAAUAAAAUGGUGCUAUGCUUCAUGUGAAAAUAUUUGACAGGAUUAUUUGAAAGUUGCCUAUAUCAGUCUUCUGUGAUCCUAAUUUUAUAAUCUUAUAACCACUUUUCAGGUUAAUUGAAUUUGAAAAGUAUUUUUAACUAGCUAUAACUAGUUCAAUGGAAAUCUAUAUUUAAUGGUGAUCCAUUUUAUUGCCUUAGAACCAGCCACAUACUUUAUUUAUGCUUCUUUGGGGUACGCUGGUAUGGCAUUAGAGACUUAAUUGUCAUAUCAAACCUUCUCUAAAACGUCUUCACUUAUAUAUUGUUUUCUCAAAUUGCCUUAUUGUGUACAAGACUUUGUUUGACAAACUAACUUGUGGAAUAAUCAAUAAACUUGAUAUAAUGGGUAAUUUUUCUCGACAAUGACAAUCCUAUGAAUAAACAUUUCAAAGUUACUCAUAUUCCUCCAUACUCAUCACCUUGUAUUUCCUCAUCUUGUAUGAAUUGCACCUUUUCGGACAAGCACAAUCUUCCCAACAGAUAUGGAAAGUGGUGACAAUCACACAUGACAAUUUCCAGUAAACUAAUUUACUGCCACUGCUUAGUUACAUUGACAUGCUGACCUUUUUCUUUGCCAUGAAUUUUUUUAUGGAAUCGUGGAUGUGGAUGGGAUGUACACUAUAUGUUCAAUUUUUGCACCUUAUUUGUUAAUACGAAAUAUCUGUGUUGACUCCACCAUUGAUCAAGCUUGCGGUACUUCCCUCCAGGUUCUUAUUUUGGUUCAGGGCAUAAAAUUUUUGUUUGCGCUAUGCAGUUAGUCAUGUUGACUGCUUCUUAGUCAUGAAACUUUGUAUCAUUUGAUUUUAGCACAGUACAUUAUUUUUGUUGCAUUUAUUGAUGACCAACUUUCAGUUCAUGAUCAAAUUUUAAAGUCCGUCUAUGGCAUUACUUACAGAGGUAUCGUUCCCUCUUGAAAUUUUGCAAUUUUAUAAAUAAACUAUACCAAUAAUUGGAGAGGGUGAAAAUGCUUUCAUGGCCAUCCUAUCCCAAAUUCUUAUUAUUUGUCUUUCUUUCUUCAUUUUUUCCUUUUGCAAAUAAUCCCAUCAGAUGGAGAAAACAUGACCUGUCAACUUAUUAAUGCAAAAUUGAUGCUUUUGGGUCCAGUCUAUCAAUUCUUGGGAAUUUGAGGUUUCUGAAUAUCUUAAGUUUACUUUCCAUCUGGAAUAUUGCAGUGGUAAUUCUUAUUUUUGGUUCUUAUAAUUGCAACAAGUCCUCGACACUAAUCUAAUCCAAACUUUCCUGCAGGGCUCUUAUUUCUGUUGCCUCCACUUCUUUUUCUGACAACGCUUUGUGCCAUGAUCCUCAAGUCAACUAGUAUAAAUGCCCUUGUAACAUAAAAAUGAGACAAUUGAUGUUCAAUUUAAUUACAGUGAAUUUCUAAGCAAUCAAAGUUUCCAACCAGUGGAAACGAAUUAUCAAAUUUGCAUUAAGGACUCUGAAUUUAUAGUAUUGGAGCAUGAAAUGAGAGGCAAAUUCUCCAAGAUUUUUCUUCCUCCCAAAGAGUUGCAUUUUGUUUGUUACAAGAAAACGGUCACUAAAUUAAUUUGUCAAAUAUGCCACUCUGAAAAAAUAACAGUCAUCUUGUAAUUGCUGAUGAGAGUACAUUCAUACGAUUCAGUGUUGGGAUUCACAGAUUUAUGGUGCUUAUAAGAUUUCCGGUUGCCCACUUCUGUCAUUGA